GGUGGCUCAGUGGUAGAGUGCUUGCCUUGCAUGCAUGAGGCACAGGGUUUGAUUCCUUAGCACCA
rnacentral:tRNA from 1 species